AGUGAACGCUGGCGGUAGGCCUAACACAUGCAAGUCGAACGGCAGCACAGUAAGAGCUUGCUCUUACGGGUGGCGAGUGGCGGACGGGUGAGGAAUACAUCGGAAUCUACUUUUUCGUGGGGGAUAACGUAGGGAAACUUACGCUCAUACCGCAUACGACCUACGGGUGAAAGCAGGGGAUCUUCGGACCUUGCGCGAUUGAAUGAGCCGAUGUCGGAUUAGCUAGUUGGCGGGGUAAAGGCCCACCAAGGCGACGAUCCGUAGCUGGUCUGAGAGGAUGAUCAGCCACACUGGAACUGAGACACGGUCCAGACUCCUACGGGAGGCAGCAGUGGGGAAUAUUGGACAAUGGGCGCAGGCCUGAUCCAGCCAUACCGCGUGGGUGAAGAAGGCCUUCGGGUUGUAAAGCCCUUUUGUUGGGAAAGAAAAGCAGCAGGUUAAUACCCCGCUGUUCUGACGGUACCCAAAGAAUAAGCACCGGCUAACUUCGUG
rnacentral:rRNA from 1 species